AGCUCUUGACGAUCCAGCUGUGGCCCCAGAUGUUGAGGGCCCCCAAAAACACCUUCCCUGCCCCCAAAACACCCCAGAUGUUGUCAGGAAGGGGCCAGAUCCAGAUGCUGGGGACCCAAAAACACCCAAAGUGUCCCAAAAUACCUUGGAAGCUCCAGAUGUGGUAGCAGAAACUCCAAAUACAGAUGUGCUGCAGGUCAAAAAUGGGCACCAGAUGUUGCUGGUGGACAGUGACACAGAUGUUGAGGACGAGGGGGCCAAUCCAGAUGUUGGCCCCCCAAAACAUCUUAAAGUGACAAAAAAUGUGCCAAAACCUCCAGAUGUGGGGCUGAAAAUCCCAAAUCCAGAUAUUCCAUGGCUUAAAGAUGGGUGUGGGACGCUGCAGGUGGAGAGCGACACAGAUGUGGAGGAGGAGGAGGAGGUUGAUCCAGAUGUGGAGCCCCCAAAACGACUGAAAAUGACCCAAAACGUUCCAAAAACUCCGGAUGUGGUAGCAAAGACUCCAAAUCCAGAUGUUUCAGGCCCAAAAAUGCAGUGUGGGAUGCAGGUGGUGGGCAGUGACACAGUUGUGGAAGAGGAUCCCUAUGUGCAACCCCAAAAAAGGCUCAGAGUGACCCAAAUCAUGCCUGGAAUUCCCAAUGUGGAGGUGGAAACCCCAAAUCCAGCUGUGGGAAUGCCCAAAACUGGACACUGGACAAUGCUGGUGGACAGCAACACAGAUGUGGAGGGGGAGGAGGACAAUCCAGAUGUGCAGCUCCCAAAGCAACUCAGGAUGACCCAAAACGUGCCUGAAACGCCAGAUGUGGCAGCAGCGGCCCCAAAUCUUGAUGUUUCAGGCCCAAAACUCCAUUCCUGGAUGCUGCUGGUAGACAGCGAUACAGAUGUGGAAGAUGAAGUGAAUCCAGACGUGAAGCCCCCCAAAAGGCUCAAAGUGACCCAAAAUGUGUCCAGAAUUCCAGAUGUGGAGGUGGAGACCCCAAAUCCAGACGCAGAAAGGUCCAAAAUUGGUCAUCAUACGUUGGUGGUGGACAGCGACACAGAUGUGGAGGAAGAUGCAGAUGUACAGCCCCCAAAAAGGCUCAGGAGGACCCAGAAUGUGCCUGAAACUCCAGAUGUGCAAUGGGGGACACCAAAUCCAGAUGUUUCAGGCCCCACAAUUGGGUGUCAGAUGCUGGUGGAAAGCAGUGACACAGAUGUGGAGGAGGAUCCAGAUGUAGAGGCCCCAAAAUGGCUCAGAGGGACCCAAAACAUUCCCGAAACUCCAGAUGUGGCUGCAAAGACCCCAAGUCCAGAUGUUUCAGGUUCCAAAAUUGGGUGUCAGACACUCCUGGUGGACAGUGACACAGAUGUGGAGGAGAAUCCAUAUGCUGAAACCCUAAAAAAGCUUGAAAUGACCCAAAAUGUGCCUGAAAGUCCAGAUGUGGUGACACAGACCCCAAAUCCAGAUGUUGGAGUGACCAAAAAUGGGUGUCAGGCACUACUGGUGGACAGUGAUACAGAUGUGGAGGAGGAGCAAGGGAAUCCAGAUGUUUGUCUUUCAGAUAGAUGGGAAAAUCCUCAAAACGUGCUUCAAACUCCAGAUGUGCCCACACAGCCCCUGAAUCCAGCUGUGGAGGGGUCACAGAGGUGCAGGGCGCUGCGGAAUGACAGUGACACAGAUGUGGAAGAGGAGGCAAAAGCAGAUGUUGAAUCCCUAAAAAGACUGAAACCAGCCCCAAAUGUGCCUGAAACUCCAGAUGUGAGGCUGAAAAUGCCAAAUCCAGAUGUUUCAGGCACAAAAAUGGGCUGGGGGACAUUGCUGGGGGACAGUGAGACAGAUGUGGAGGAGGAUGAGACAGGUCUAGAUGUUCGGCCCUUAAAAAGACGGAAAAUGACCCCAAAUGUACCUGAAUCUCCAGAUGUGCCCACACCAACUCCAAGUCCAGCUGUUGGAGGCUCUGAGUCCAGAUGUGGAGCCUUGGUGGUGGAAAGCAACAGAGAUGUGGAGGAGGAUGAGGCUUGUCCAGAUAUUCAGCCCUCAAAAAGACAGAAAAUUACCCAAAAUGUGCCCAAAAUGCCAGAUGUUGGGCUGAAACCCCCAAAUCCAGAUGUUGGAAGGCACCAAAAGACCCAAAAUGUGGCUGAAACUCCAGAUGUGGGGGAGGAAGAGGAAGGGUGGGAUCCAAAUGUGGCCACCCAGCUGUUCCUGCCCCCAAAUCCAGAUGUGGGGGAGGCUGAGGUGGAUCCAGAUGUUGGGAGCCCAAAACAACUCCAAAUGACCCAGAAGCCCGAUGCAAUUCCAGAUGUGGAGGAGGAAGACGAGUCAGAUCCAGAUGUAGCCACCCAGCUGUUCCUGCCCUCUCCAGAUGUUGGGAGCCCAGAAAGCCCCCAAAUGGCCUCAAAGGACCCCAAAAUCCCAGAUGUGGAGGGGCUGCCCUCCCUGGAUCCAGAUGUGGCCACGCAGCUGUUCCUGCCCCCACAUCCAGGUGUGGGGGUUGGCCCAAAUCCAGAUGUUCUGGGUCCAAAACAACACAAAAUGGCCUCAAAUGACCCCAAAAUUCCCGAUGUGAGGGUGGAGAACCCAGAUCCAGAUGUGGAGGGGGAGGAGGACUUGGAUGUGGCCACCCAGCUGUUUCUGCCCCUUGAUCCAGAUGUGGGGGAGGGAGGACCCUCAGAUCCAGAUAUUGGGUCCCCAAAACCACUCAAAAGUCCCCUAAACCCACCUGAAGUUCCAGAUGUGGACAUGGAGAGCCCAAAUCCAGAUGUGGAGGAGUCACUGAGGGGCCACAGGACGUUACUGGGGGAUGCUGAUCCAGAUGUGGGGCAGGCAGACCCAAAUCCAGAUGUGGCAGCCUCAAAAAGACCCCAAAAGGCCCCGAAUGUCCCCAAAAUUCCAGAUGUGGACGUGGACACCCCAAUUUCAGAUGUGGAGGAGCUGGGGAGCCCUGACCUGGAUCCUGAUGUGGCCACUCAGCUGUUCCUGCCCCCCAACCCAGAUUUGGGGUCCCCAGAAAGCGCCAGAACGGCCCUGGAGGAAUUCCAAAUUCCAGAUGUGGAGCAAAAGGCUCCAAAUCCAGAUGUUGGUGAUCCCCCAAGCCCCAGCCAGGAGGAAGCAGAAGCUCCACCCACCCUGCAGGUGCGGCGCAGUCUGCGAUUGGCUGAGAGCGGAGAGGGCGGGGCCACGAGAGGCCCCGCCCCCACGCAGAAAAGGCGUGGUCAAGGCUCCAAGCCCCGCCUCUCACCCAAGCUCCGCCCCCAGAGGGGGCGGGACCGAGCAGGGGCGGGGCUGGAAGAAGCCACGCCCCCCGUGUCCAUAAAAGGGAAUGGGCGGGGCUCGGCGGGGACCUCAUCCCCAGAGGAAGAGGACCCAGCAGGGGGCGCCAAGCGCAGGCUCCGCCCCCGGGCAGCGCCGGGCUCCGCCCACAUCCGGGUAAGGACCAGUAUGGACCAGUGUGGACCAGUGUGGAAUAGUGCGGAGCAGUGUAACCAGUACAGACCAAUGUAGACCAGCACAGACCAGCAGGGACCAGCACAGACCAGUACAGACCAGCACAGACCAGUACAAACCAGCACAGACCAGCAGGGACCAGCACAGACUAGUGCCCCCUCAUCCCCUCCCCCACUGUGUCCCCAGCUACUGUUCUGGGGCUGGUGGCACCUGGGGAUGUCCC
ensembl:lncRNA